rnacentral:sRNA from 1 species
GGGAAGGAUGAGAAGCUUCGACCAAGGUUCGACUCGAGCGAAACGAGAGAACGUUGCCGCAGGCAACGGCCCGAAGGGCGAGGCGCUUUAGCGCCGAGUAAUCCUUCCCCCACCACCA